AAUGAACGCUGGCGGCAGGCCUAACACAUGCAAGUCGAACGGAUCCUUCGGGAUUAGUGGCGGACGGGUGAAUAACGCGUGGGAACAUACCCUUUGGUACGGAAUAGCCUCGGGAAACUGGGAGUAAUACCGUAUGUGGUCGAGAGACGAAAGAUUUAUCGCCAAAGGAUUGGCCCGCGUUGGAUUAGGUAGUUGGUGGGGUAAUGGCCUACCAAGCCGACGAUCCAUAGCUGGUUUGAGAGGAUGAUCAGCCACACUGGGACUGAGACACGGCCCAGACUCCUACGGGAGGCAGCAGUGGGGAAUCUUAGACAAUGGGGGAAACCCUGAUCUAGCCAUGCCGCGUGAUCGAUGAAGGCCUUAGGGUUGUAAAGAUCUUUCAGGUGGGAAGAUAAUGACUGUACCACCAGAAGAAGCCCCGGCUAACUUCGUGCCAGCAGCCGCGGUAA
rnacentral:rRNA from 1 species